CCUACGGGCAGCAGUGGGGAAUUUUGGACAAUGGGCGCAAGCCUGAUCCAGCAAUGCCGCGUGAGUGAAGAAGGCCUUCGGGUUGUAAAGCUCUUUUGUCAGGGAAGAAAAGGUGCGCUCUAACAUAGCGUACUGAUGACGGUACCUGAAGUAUAAGCACCGACUAACUACGUGCCAGCAGCCGCGGUAAUACGUAGGGUGCAAGCGUUAAUCGGAAUUACUGGGCGUAAAGCGUGCGCAGGCGGUUUUAUAAGUCUGAUGUGGAAUCCCCGGGCUCAACCUGGGAACUGCAUUGGAGACUGUAAGGCUAGAGUGUGUCAGAGGGGGGUAGAAUUCCACGUGUAGCAGUGAAAUGCGUAGAUAUGUGGAGGAAUACCGAUGGCGAAGGCAGCCCCCUGGGAUAACACUGACGCUCAUGCACGAAAGCGUGGGGAGCAAACAGGAUUAGAUACCCUGGUAGUCCACGCCCUAAACGAUGUCUACUAGUUGUCGGGACUUAAUUGUCUUGGUAACGCAGCUAACGCGUGAAGUAGACCGCCUGGGGAGUACGGUCGCAAGNUUAAAACUUAAAUGAAAUUGACGG
rnacentral:rRNA from 1 species